GAUGAACGCUGGCGGCGUGCCUAAUACAUGCCAGUCGAGCGAACGGACGAGAAGCUUGCUUCUCUGAUGUUAGCGGCGGACGGGUGAGUAACACGUGGAUAACCUACCUAUCAGACUGGGAUAACUUCGGGAAACCGGAGCUAAUACCGGAUGAUAUUUUGAACCGCAUGGUUCAAAAGUGAAAGACGGUCUUGCUGUCACUUAUAGAUGGAUCCGCGCUGCAUUAGCUAGUUGGUAAGGUAACGGCUUACCAAGGCAACGAUGCAUAGCCGACCUGAGAGGGUGAUCGGCCACACUGGAACUGAGACACGGUCCAGACUCCUACGGGAGGCAGCAGUAGGGAAUCUUCCGCAAUGGGCGAAAGCAUGACGGAGCAACGCCGCGUGAGUGAUGAAGGUCUUCGGAUCGUAAAACUCUGUUAUUAGGGAAGAACAUAUGUGUAAGUAACUGUGCACAUCUUGACGGUACCUAAUCAGAAAGCAACGGCUAACUACGUG
rnacentral:rRNA from 1 species